CGGGGGGCAGCAGUAAGGAAUAUUGCGCAAUGGGCGAAAGCCUGACGCAGCGACGCCGCGUGGGGGAUGAAGGUCUUCGGAUUGUAAACCCCUUUCGGGAGGGAAGAUGGAAUGGGGUAACCCAUUCGGACGGUACCUCCAGAAGCAGCCACGGCUAACUUCGUGCCAGCAGCCGCGGUAAUACGAAGGUGGCAAGCGUUAUUCGGAUUUACUGGGCGUACAGGGAGCGUAGGCGGUUCGGUAAGCCCUCUGUGAAAUCUUCAGGCUUAACCUGGAAAAGUCGGGGGGGACUGCCGGGCUAGAGGACGGGAGAGGAGCGCGGAAUUCCCGGUGUAGCGGUGAAAUGCGUAGAGAUCGGGAGGAAGGCCGGUGGCGAAGGCGGCGCUCUGGAACGUUUCUGACGCUGAGGCUCGAAAGCGUGGGGAGCAAACAGGAUUAGAUACCCCGGU
rnacentral:rRNA from 1 species